rnacentral:rRNA from 1 species
AGGGAAGAACACGUAACGAGUGUAACUGCUUGUACUUUGACGGUUCGAUAUUUGAAAGACAGGGCUAAAUACGGGCCAGCAGCCGUGGAAAUACGUAGGUGGCAAGCGUUGUCCGGAAUUAUAGGGCGUAAAGCGAGUGCAGGCGGUCCUUUGAGUCUGAUGUGAAAGAGCGCGGCUCACCCGUGGAUGGUCAUUGGAAACUGGGGGUCUUGAGUACAGAAGAGGAAAGCGGAAUUCCAUGCGUUGCGGUGAAAUGGGUAGAGAUGUGGAGGAACAUCAGUGGCGAAGGCGGCUUUUUGGUCUGUAACUGACGUUGAGGCGUGAAAUCGUGGGGAUCAAACAGGAUUAGAUACCCGGGUAGUACACGCUGUAAGCGAUGAUUGCUAAGUGUUAGGGGGUUUCCGCCCAUUAGGGCUGCAGAUAAGUCAUUAAGCACUUCCGCUUGGGGUGUUGUGCCGCAAGGGUGAAACUCAAAGGAAUUGACGGGGGCCCGCACAAGCGGUGGAGCAUGUGGUUAAUUCGAAGCAACGUGAAGAACCUUUCAUGGUCUUGACAUCCCAGUGACCGUAUUAGAGAUAAGUCUUUCCCUUUGGGGACAGUGGAGACAGGUGGUGCAUGGUAGUAGUUAGCUCAUGUCGUGAGAUGGUGGGUUAAGUCCCGCAACGAGCUCAACCCUUGAUAUUUGUUGCCAGCAUUAAGUUGUGCACUCUAAGGUGACUUCCGGGAUCAAGACACGGAGGACAGGUGGGGAUGAGGUCAAAUCAUCGUGCCCCUUAGAUCUGGGCUAAUGAAUUCCGCGGCCGCCUGCGGCCGGAGCUGGAUCGC